rnacentral:rRNA from 1 species
UUCCAGACUCCUACGGGAGGCAGCAGUGAGGAAUAUUGGUCAAUGGGCGAGAGCCUGAACCAGCCAAGUCGCGUGAAGGAUGACGGCCCUACGGGUUGUAAACUUCUUUUGUCAGGGAGCAAUUGGGUCCACGCGUGGGCUUAGCGAGAGUACCUGAAGAAAAAGCAUCGGCUAACUCCGUGCCAGCAGCCGCGGUAAUACGGAGGAUGCGAGCGUUAUCCGGAUUUAUUGGGUUUAAAGGGUGCGCAGGCGGAGGUGCAAGUCAGCGGUCAAAUUGCGGGGCUCAACCCCGUACUGCCGUUGAAACUGGGUGCCUUGAGUGGGCGAGAAGUACGCGGAAUGCGUGGUGUAGCGGUGAAAUGCAUAGAUAUCACGCAGAACUCCGAUUGCGAAGGCAGCGUACCGGCGCCCAACUGACGCUGAAGCACGAAGGCGUGGGUAUCGAACAGGAUUAGAUACCCCUGUACAA